UACGAAGGGGGCUAGCGUUGUUCGGAAUCACUGGGCGUAAAGGGCGCGUAGGCGGCUUUAUAAGUCGGGGGUGAAAGCCUGUGGCUCAACCACAGAAUUGCCUUCGAUACUGUAGAGCUUGAGACCGGAAGAGGUUAGUGGAACUGCGAGUGUAGAGGUGAAAUUCGUAGAUAUUCGCAAGAACACCAGUGGCGAAGGCGGCUGACUGGUCCGGUUCUGACGCUGAGGCGCGAAAGCGUGGGGAGCAAACAGG
rnacentral:rRNA from 1 species